GAUGAACGCUGGCGGCGUGCCUAAUACAUGCAAGUCGAGCGAACAGAUAAGGAGCUUGCUCCUUUGACGUUAGCGGCGGACGGGUGAGUAACACGUGGGUAACCUACCUAUAAGACUGGGAUAACUUCGGGAAACCGGCGCUAAUACCGGAUAACAUUUGGAACCGCAUGGUUCUAAAGUGAAAGAUGGUUUUGCUAUCACUUAUAGAUGGACCCGCGCCGUAUUAGCUAGUUGGUAAGGUAACGGCUUACCAAGGCGACGAUACGUAGCCGACCUGAGAGGGUGAUCGGCCACACUGGAACUGAGACACGGUCCAGACUCCUACGGGAGGCAGCAGUAGGGAAUCUUCCGCAAUGGGCGAAAGCCUGACGGAGCAACGCCGCGUGAGUGAUGAAGGGUUUCGGCUCGUAAAACUCUGUUAUUAGGGAAGAACAAAUGUGUAAGUAACUGUGCACGUCUUGACGGUACCUAAUCAGAAAGCCACGGCUAACUACGUG
rnacentral:rRNA from 1 species